GACGAACGCUGGCGGCGUGCCUAAUACAUGCAAGUAGAACGCUGAAGCGAGGAGCUUGCUCUUCUUGGAUGAGUUGCGAACGGGUGAGUAACGCGUAGGUAACCUGCCUUGUAGCGGGGGAUAACUAUUGGAAACGAUAGCUAAUACCGCAUAACAAUGGAUGACACAUGUCAUUUAUUUGAAAGGGGCAAUUGCUCCACUACAAGAUGGACCUGCGUUGUAUUAGCUAGUAGGUGAGGUAAUGGCUCACCUAGGCGACGAUACAUAGCCGACCUGAGAGGGUGAUCGGCCACACUGGGACUGAGACACGGCCCAGACUCCUACGGGAGGCAGCAGAAGGGAAUCUUCGGCAAUGGGGGCAACCCUGACCGAGCAACGCCGCGUGAGUGAAGAAGGUUUUCGGAUCGUAAAGCUCUGUUGUAAGUCAAGAACGGGUGUGAGAGUGGAAAGUUCACACUGUGACGGUAGCUUACCAGAAAGGGACGGCUAACUACGUG
rnacentral:rRNA from 1 species